rnacentral:rRNA from 1 species
ACGAACGCUGGCGGCGUGCCUAAUACAUGCAAGUCGAACGCUUCUUUUUCCACCGGAGCUUGCUCCACCGGAAAAAGAGGAGUGGCGAACGGGUGAGUAACACGUGGGUAACCUGCCCAUCAGAAGGGGAUAACACUUGGAAACAGGUGCUAAUACCGUAUAACAAUCGAAACCGCAUGGUUUUGAUUUGAAAGGCGCUUUCGGGUGUCGCUGAUGGAUGGACCCGCGGUGCAUUAGCUAGUUGGUGAGGUAACGGCUCACCAAGGCGACGAUGCAUAGCCGACCUGAGAGGGUGAUCGGCCACAUUGGGACUGAGACACGGCCCAAACUCCUACGGGAGGCAGCAGUAGGGAAUCUUCGGCAAUGGACGAAAGUCUGACCGAGCAACGCCGCGUGAGUGAAGAAGGUUUUCGGAUCGUAAAACUCUGUUGUUAGAGAAGAACAAGGAUGAGAGUAACUGUUCAUCCCUUGACGGUAUCUAACCAGAAAGCCACGGCUAACUACGUGCCAGCAGCCGCGGUAAUACGUAGGUGGCAAGCGUUGUCCGGAUUUAUUGGGCGUAAAGCGAGCGCAGGCGGUUUCUUAAGUCUGAUGUGAAAGCCCCCGGCUCAACCGGGGAGGGUCAUUGGAAACUGGGAGACUUGAGUGCAGAAGAGGAGAGUGGAAUUCCAUGUGUAGCGGUGAAAUGCGUAGAUAUAUGGAGGAACACCAGUGGCGAAGGCGGCUCUCUGGUCUGUAACUGACGCUGAGGCUCGAAAGCGUGGGGAGCAAACAGGAUUAGAUACCCUGGUAGUCCACGCCGUAAACGUUGAGUGCUCAGUGUCGGCGGGUUUCCGCCCUUCCGUGCUGCAGCUAACGCAUUAAGCACUCCGCCUGGGGAGUACGACCGCAAGGUUGAAACUCAAAGGAAUUGACGGGGGCCCGCACAAGCGGUGGAGCAUGUGGUUUAAUUCGAAGCAACGCGAAGAACCUUACCAGGUCUUGACAUCCUUUGACCACUCUAGAGAUAGAGCUUCCCCUUCGGGGGCAAAGUGACAGGUGGUGCAUGGUUGUCGUCAGCUCGUGUCGUGAGAUGUUGGGUUAAGUCCCGCAACGAGCGCAACCCUUAUUGUUAGUUGCCAUCAUUUAGUUGGGCACUCUAGCAAGACUGCCGGUGACAAACCGGAGGAAGGUGGGGAUGACGUCAAAUCAUCAUGCCCCUUAUGACCUGGGCUACACACGUACUACAAUGGCGUUAAACAAAGAGAAGCAAGACCGCGAGGUGGAGCAAAACUCAGAAACAACGUCCCAGUUCGGACUGCAGGCUGCAACUCGCCUGCACGAAGUCGGAAUUGCUAGUAAUCGUGGAUCAGCAUGCCACGGUGAAUACGUUCCCGGGCCUUGUACACACCGCCCGUCACACCACGAGAGUUUGUAACACCCGAAGUCGGUGAGGUAACCUUUUGGAGCCAGCCGCCUAAGGUGGGAUAGAUGAUUGGGGUG